AAAAAGGUAAGCUAAAUUUAAGCUAACGGGUUCAUACCCCGUCUAUAGGAACAACCUCCUUUUUA
rnacentral:tRNA from 1 species